UACGGAGGGGGCGAGCGUUAUUCGGAAUUAUUGGGCGUAAAGGGCGCGUAGGCGGCUUGACAAGUCAAAGGUGAAAUCCCUCGGCUCAACUGAGGAACUGCCUUUGAAACUGUCUGGCUUGAGGCCGGGAGGGGGUAGCGGAAUUCCCAGUGUAGCGGUGAAAUGCGUAGAUACUGGGAGGAACACCAGUGGCGAAGGCGGCUACCUGGACCGACAUUGACGCUGAGGAGCGAAAGCUAAGGGAGCAAACGGG
rnacentral:rRNA from 1 species